UACGGAGGAUCCGAGCGUUAUCCGGAUUUAUUGGGUUUAAAGGGUGCGUAGGCGGCUUUUUAAGUCAGAGGUGAAAGACGGCAGCUCAACUGUCGCAGUGCCUUUGAUACUGGGGAGCUUGAAUAUAGUUGAGGUGGGCAGAAUGUGACAAGUAGCGGUGAAAUGCAUAGAUAUGUCACAGAAUACCGAUUGCGAAGGCAGCUCACUAAGCUAUGAUUGACGCUGAGGCACGAAAGCGUGGGGAUCAAACAGG
rnacentral:rRNA from 1 species